AGGAGAACACGAGGUCAACAGCAGAGAGAUCUGAUGAGACGGAGCAGUGAUCGCGAGGUAGAGGGAGCAAGGACUGAUGACUGAUUGGACAGUGGUGCAGGAGGGAAGGUCUCUGCAUGUCAGUGAUUAAAUUGCUGAAGAUGCCACUGCCUGAGACGGGCAGUAUUGAAGGAAGGAGUGGAGGCCCUGGUGCCCGGCCCUUGGUGCUGAGUAUCCAGCAAGAGUGACCGGGGUGAAGAAGCAAAGACUCGGUUGAUUGUCCUGGGCUGUGGCUGGCUGUGGAGCUAGAGCCCUGGAUGGCCCCUGAGCCAGCCCCAGGGAGGACGAUGGUGCCCCUUGUGCCUGCACUGGUGAUGCUUGGUUUGGUGGCAGGCGCCCAUGGUGACAGCAAACCUGUCUUCAUUAAAGUCCCUGA
rnacentral:lncRNA from 10 species